UGGGGAAUUUUCCGCAAUGGGCGAAAGCCUGACGGAGCAAUACCGCGUGAGGGAUGAAAGCCUUUGGGUUGUAAACCUCUUUUCUCAAGGAAGAAGUUCUGACGGUACUUGAGGAAUAAGCAUCGGCUAACUCUGUGCCAGCAGCCGCGGUAAUACAGAGGAUGCAAGCGUUAUCCGGAAUCACUGGGCAUAAAGCGUCUGUAGGUUGUUUAGUAAGUCUGCUGUUAAAUACUAGGGCUUAACCCUAGGCCAGCAGUGGAAACUGCUAGACUUGAGUGUGGUAGAGGUAGAGGGAAUUCCUGGUGUAGCGGUGAAAUGCGUAGAUAUUAGGAAGAACACCAAUGGCGAAAGCACUCUACUGGGCCAUAACUGACACUAAGAGACGACAGCUAGGGGAGCAAAUGGG
rnacentral:rRNA from 1 species